rnacentral:rRNA from 1 species
UACGUAGGGUGCGAGCGUUGCCCGGAUUUAUUGGGCGUAAAGGGCGCGUAGGCGGUGAGAUGCGUCCGUUGUGAAAUCGCCCGGCUCAACUGGGCGGGGUCAGCGGAUACGGUCUCACUCGAGCAAGCUAGGGGGCAAUGGAAUUCCCGGUGUAGCGGUGAAAUGCGUAGAUAUCGAGAGGAACACCUGCGGCGAAGGCGGGUUGCUGGGCUGACACUGACGCUGAUGCGCGAAAGCCAGGGGAGCGAACGGG